AUUGAACGCUGGCGGCAUGCUUUACACAUGCAAGUCGAACGGCAGCGCGGGCUUCGGCCUGGCGGCGAGUGGCGAACGGGUGAGUAAUACAUCGGAACGUGCCCAGUAGUGGGGGAUAGCUCGGCGAAAGCCGGAUUAAUACCGCAUACGACCUGAGGGUGAAAGCGGGGGAUCUUCGGACCUCGCGCUAUUGGAGCGGCCGAUGGCAGAUUAGCUAGUUGGUGGGGUAAAGGCCUACCAAGGCGACGAUCUGUAGCUAGUCUGAGAGGACGACCAGCCACACUGGGACUGAGACACGGCCCAGACUCCUACGGGAGGCAGCAGUGGGGAAUUUUGGACAAAGGGCGAAAGCCUGAUCCAGCAAUGCCGCGUGUGUGAUGAAGGCCUUCGGGUUGUAAAGCACUUUUGGCGGGAACGAAAAGGACUGUGCCAAUACCACGGUUCGAUGACGGUACCCGCAGAAUAAGCACCGGCUAACUACGUG
rnacentral:rRNA from 1 species